rnacentral:tRNA from 1 species
UCCCUGGUGGCUCAGACGUUAAAGCCUCUGCCUGCAAUGCGGAAGACCCGGGUUCGAUCCCUGGGUCGGGAA